UACGCAGGGUGCAAGCGUUAAUCGGAAUUACUGGGCGUAAAGCGUGCGCAGGCGGUUUUGUAAGUCUGUCGUGAAAUCCCCGGGCUCAACCUGGGAAUGGCGAUGGAGACUGCAAGGCUAGAAUCUGGCAGAGGGGGGUAGAAUUCCACGUGUAGCAGUGAAAUGCGUAGAGAUGUGGAGGAACACCGAUGGCGAAGGCAGCCCCCUGGGUCAAGAUUGACGCUCAUGCACGAAAGCGUGGGGAGCAAACAGG
rnacentral:rRNA from 1 species